UACGGAGGGUGCGAGCGUUGUUCGGAAUCAUUGGGCGUAAAGCGCGUGUAGGCGGCUUGGCAAGUCGGUUGUGAAAGCCCGGGGCUCAACCCCGGAACUGCAGCCGAAACUGCCUAGCUAGAGUCCCGGAGAGGAAGGCAGAAUUCCCGGUGUAGGGGUGAAAUCCGUAGAUAUCGGGAGGAAUACCCGUGGCGAAGGCGGCCUUCUGGACGGUGACUGACGCUGAGACGCGAAAGCGUGGGGAGCAAACAGG
rnacentral:misc_RNA from 1 species